rnacentral:rRNA from 1 species
GGCUCACCUAGGCGACGAUCCCUAGCUGGUCUGAGAGGAUGACCAGCCACACUGGAACUGAGACACGGUCCAGACUCCUACGGGAGGCAGCAGUGGGGAAUAUUGCACAAUGGGCGCAAGCCUGAUGCAGCCAUGCCGCGUGUGUGAAGAAGGCCUUCGGGUUGUAAAGCACUUUCAGCGGGGAGGAAGGCGUUAAGGUUAAUAACCUUGGCGAUUGACGUUACCCGCAGAAGAAGCACCGGCUAACUCCGUGCCAGCAGCCGCGGUAAUACGGAGGGUGCAAGCGUUAAUCGGAAUUACUGGGCGUAAAGCGCACGCAGGCGGUCUGUCAAGUCGGAUGUGAAAUCCCCGGGCUCAACCUGGGAACUGCAUUCGAAACUGGCAGGCUAGAGUCUUGUAGAGGGGGGUAGAAUUCCAGGUGUAGCGGUGAAAUGCGUAGAGAUCUGGAGGAAUACCGGUGGCGAAGGCGGCCCCCUGGACAAAGACUGACGCUCAGGUGCGAAAGCGUGGGGAGCAAACAGGAUUAGAUACCCUGGUAGUCCACGCCGUAAACGAUGUCGAUUUGGAGGUUGUGCCCUUGAGGCGUGGCUUCCGGAGCUAACGCGUUAAAUCGACCGCCUGGGGAGUACGGCCGCAAGGUUAAAACUCAAAUGAAUUGACGGGGGCCCGCACAAGCGGUGGAGCAUGUGGUUUAAUUCGAUGCAACGCGAAGAACCUUACCUGGUCUUGACAUCCACAGAACUUUCCAGAGAUGGAUUGGUGCCUUCGGGAACUGUGAGACAGGUGCUGCAUGGCUGUCGUCAGCUCGUGUUGUGAAAUGUUGGGUUAAGUCCCGCAACGAGCGCAACCCUUAUCCUUUGUUGCCAGCGGUCCGGCCGGGAACUCAAAGGAGACUGCCAGUGAUAAACUGGAGGAAGGUGGGGAUGACGUCAAGUCAUCAUGGCCCUUACGACCAGGGCUACACACGUGCUACAAUGGCAUAUACAAAGAGAAGCGACCUCGCGAGAGCAAGCGGACCUCAUAAAGUAUGUCGUAGUCCGGAUUGGAGUCUGCAACUCGACUCCAUGAAGUCGGAAUCGCUAGUAAUCGUAGAUCAGAAUGCUACGGUGAAUACGUUCCCGGGCCUUGUACACACCGCCCGUCACACCAUGGGAGUGGGUUGCAAAAGAAGUAGGUAGCUUAACCUUCGGGAGGGCGCUUACCACUUUGUGAUUCAUGACUGGGGUGAAGUCGUAACAAGGUAACCGUAGGGGAACCUGCGGUUGGAUCACCU